UAGGGAAUCUUCCGCAAUGGGCGAAAGCCUGACGGAGCAACGCCGCGUGAGUGAUGAAGGUCUUCGGAUCGUAAAACUCUGUUAUUAGGGAAGAACAAAUGUGUAAGUAACUAUGCACGUCUUGACGGUACCUAAUCAGAAAGCCACGGCUAACUACGUGCCAGCAGCCGCGGUAAUACGUAGGUGGCAAGCGUUAUCCGGAAUUAUUGGGCGUAAAGCGCUCGUAGGCGGUUUUUUAAGUCUGAUGUGAAAGCCCACGGCUUAACCGUGGAAGGUCAUUGGAAACUGGAAAACUUGAGUGCAGAAGAGGAAAGUGGAAUUCCAUGUGUAGCGGUGAAAUGCGCAAAGAUAUGGAGGAACACCAGUGGCGAAGGCGACUUUCUGGUCUGUAACUGACGCUGAUGUGCGAAAGCGGGGGGAUCAAACAGG
rnacentral:rRNA from 1 species